AUUAACGCUGGCGGUAUGCCUUAUGCAUGCAAGUAGAACGAGUUGUCGCAAGACAAUUAGUUGCGAACGGCUGAGUAAUGGAUAGGAAUCUCCCCAAUGGCGUGGAAUACCUCAUCGAAAGAUGAGCUAAUACCACAUGACCUCGCAAGAGAAAAGUGCUUAACUGCACACCGAUGGAUGAGCCUAUCUCCCAUCAGGCUGUUGGUAGGGUAAUGGCCUACCAAACCUAUGACGGGUACCCGCCCUGAGAGGGGAAACGGGCAGAAUGGGACUGAGACACGGCCCAUACACCUACGGGUGGCAGCAACAGGGAAUCGUACGCAAUGGACGAAAGUCUGACGUCGCAAUACCGCGUGGAGGAUUAAGGCCUUCGGGUUGUAAACUCCUUUUAUAGUAAUAGAGAUGUUAUUAAGAAUAAGCACCUGCUAACUCUGU
rnacentral:rRNA from 1 species